rfam:Gossypium raimondii chromosome 2, whole genome shotgun sequence.
AACCCAUGGUGAGGGCACCGUCUCAAUAAGUCCUUAUACCUCUCCCAUGCAUCAUAUAGGGUCUCUAACCACAAAUUUGGUUUCGAAAGAAAUAUUAUUUUUAUAUU